UUUUGACCUCGGAUCAGGUAGGGAUACCCGCUGAACUUAAGCAUAUCAAUAAGCGGAGGAAAAGAAACCAACAGGGAUUGCCCUAGUAACGGCGAGUGAAGCGGCAACAGCUCAAAUUUGAAAUCUGGCUCUUUUAGAGUCCGAGUUGUAAUUUGCAGAGGGCGCUUUGGCUUUGGCAGCGGUCCAAGUUCCUUGGAACAGGACGUCACAGAGGGUGAGAAUCCCGUACGUGGUCGCUGGCUAUUGCCGUGUAAAGCCCCUUCGACGAGUCGAGUUGUUUGGGAAUGCAGCUCUAAAUGGGAGGUACAUUUCUUCUAAAGCUAAAUAUUGGCCAGAGACCGAUAGCGCACAAGUAGAGUGAUCGAAAGAUGAAAAGCACUUUGGAAAGAGAGUCAAACAGCACGUGAAAUUGUUGAAAGGGAAGCGCUUGCAGCCAGACUUGCUUACAGUUGCUCAUCCGGGUUUUUACCCGGUGCACUCUUCUGUAGGCAGGCCAGCAUCAGUUUGGGCGGUAGGAUAAAGGUCUCUGUCACGUACCUCCUUUCGGGGAGGCCUUAUAGGGGAGACGACAUACUACCAGCCUGGACUGAGGUCCGCGCAUCUGCUAGGAUGCUGGCGUAAUGGCUGUAA
rnacentral:rRNA from 5 species